rnacentral:rRNA from 1 species
UCGUACCGAGAUCCGACACAGGUGCCCCUGGCUGAGAAGGCCAAGGCGUGACGGAGCUAAUCUGGCUAAGGGAAAUCGGCAAAUUGGCCCCGUAACUUCGGGAGAAGGGGCGCCUCUCUGGGUGAGAUCAAAUCUGAUGGAGCCCGGGGAGGCCGCAGUGAAAUGGCUCUGGUGACUGGUUAACAAAACCACAGGUCUCUGCAAAGCCGUAAGGCGAUGUAUAGGGGCUGACGCCUGCCCAGUGCCGGAAGGUUAAAGGGACGUGUUAUCCCCCUCGGGGGAGAAGCUCUGAACUGAAGCCCCGGUGAACGGCGGCCGUAACUAUAACGGUCCUAAGGUAGCGAAAUUCCUUGUCGGGUAAGUUCCGACCCGCACGAAUGGCGUAACAACUGGAGCACUGUCUCAACGAGGGACCCGGCGAAACUGAAGUCGCGGUAAAGAUGCCGCGUACCCGCAGCAGGACAAAAAGACCCCGUGGAGCUUUACUACAACUUGACAUUGGUUUCGGGCUUAGCUUGUCUAGCAUAGGUGGGAGGCUGUGAAGCUGGGGCGCCAGCCUCGGUGGAGCCAACCGUGGAAUACCACCCUUGCUAAGUCUGGGCCCUAACCUCUGACCGUUAUCCGGCAGAGGGACAGUGUCAGGCGGGUAGUUUGACUGGGGCGGUCGCCUCCUAAAAGGUAACGGAGGCGCCCAAAGGUUCCCUCAGGCUGAAUGGAAACCAGCCGUCGAGUGUAAAGGCACAAGGGAGCUUGACUGCGAGACCAACGCGUCGAGCAGAGACGAAAGUCGGGCUUAGUGAUCCCACGGUACCGAGUGGAAGGGCCGUGGCUCAUCGGAUAAAAGCUACCCCGGGGAUAACAGGCUGGUCUUGCCCAAGAGUUCACAUCGACGGCAAGGCUCGGCACCUCGAUGUCGGCUCAUCGCAUCCUGGGGCUGGAUAAGGUCCCAAGGGUUGGGCUGUUCGCCCAUUAAAGCGGUACGUGAGCUGGGUUCAGACCGUCGUGAGACAGGUCGGUCUCUAUCCGCUGUGGGCGUAAGGGACUUGAGGGGAGCUGCCCCUAGUACGAGAGGACCGGGGUGGACAGACCUCUGGUGUGCCAGUUGUCGUGCCAACGGCAUCGCUGGGUAGCCACGUCUGGCAGAGAUAACCGCUGAAAGCAUCUAAGUGGGAAACUCGCCCCAAGAUGAGGUCCCUCACCGGGUUAACCGGGUAAGGCCGCUGGGAGACUACCAGCUUGAUAGGCGGCAAGUGUAAGCGCAGCAAUGCGUUCAGCUAAGCCGUACUAAUGGCCGAGGGCUUAACCUG